CCUACGGGUGGCAGCAGUGGGGAAUAUUGGGCAAUGGGCGCAAGCCUGAACCAGCAACGCCGCGUGAAGGAAGAAGGCUUUCGGGUUGUAAACUUCUUUUGUCAGGGAAGAGUAGAAGACGGUACCUGACGAAUAAGCCACGGCUAACUACGUGCCAGCAGCCGCGGUAAUACGGAGGUGGCAAGCGUUGUCCGGAUUUACUGGGUGUAAAGGGCGUGUAGCCGGGUUGACAAGUCAGAUGUGAAAUCCUGCGGCUUAACCGCAGAACUGCAUUUGAAACUGUUGAUCUUGAGUACGGGAGAGGCAGACGGAAUUCCUAGUGUAGCGGUGAAAUGCGUAGAUAUUAGGCGGAACACCGGUGGCGAAGGCGGUCUGCUGGACAGCAACUGACGGUGAGGCGCGAAAGCGUGGGUAUCAAACAGGAUUAGAUACCCGAGUAGUC
rnacentral:rRNA from 1 species